GAUGAACGCUAGCGGGAGGCUUAACACAUGCAAGUCGAGGGGCAGCAUAGGGUAGCAAUACUCUGAUGGCGACCGGCAAAACGGGUGAGUAACGCGUAUGCAACCUACCCUGUACAGGGGGAUAACCCGGAGAAAUUCGGACUAAUAUCCCGUAAUAAUAUCCGGAGGCAUCUUUGGAUAUUUAAAGUUCCGACGGUACGGGAUGGGCAUGCGUAACAUUAGCUGGUUGGUAAGGUAACGGCUUACCAAGGCUAUGAUGUUUAGGGGUCCUGAGAGGGUGGUCCCCCACACUGGUACUGAGACACGGACCAGACUCCCACGGGAGGCAGCAGUGAGGAAUAUUGGUCAAUGGGCGCAAGGCCUGAACCAGCCAUCCCGCGUGCAGGAAGACGGCCCUAUGGGUUGUAAACUGCUUUUCCAGGGAGAGAAACUUACGCACGUGUUGCGUGACUGACGGUACCCUGGGAAUAAGCAUCGGCUAAACUCGUGCAGCAGCCGCGGUAAUACGUGUGU
rnacentral:rRNA from 1 species